CUCUCCACUCCCACCUCCCACGCCAGCUGGUCCUCCUCAACUCCCUUUAAAGGCUCCUCUCCAAACCCCAGCGCUUCUUUUGGAGCUCCAUCAGCUGUUACGAGUAUGGCAACCCCAGGGGAGACCCAAAGAAAUCCCGGUGUGGUGAUUGUGGUCUGCCUUUUCGUGUCCAUUCUGGUCCUGGGCUCGGUGAUAGUGGCUGUGAAAUGCUUCAGGAAGAACAUAAACGGCUUUGAGAAGAUGGAUGAGUUACCCAUGGAAACUGUUUGAGAGGAGGCGCCCUUUGCUAGACUGACCCCUCAGUGACCACAGAUGGCCAUGGGGGAUGGCUUUUGAGGGGCUAUUGGAACAGCUCCUGCUCCUCAUGACCUCUCCCCUUUCCAAAAGGAUAUUGGUGUCUGUCAUGCAAUAAAAUGAAGAUGGAAAUGA